ensembl:lncRNA
CAUUUUUAAAGGACAAAAACGAACAUCCAACUUUGACUGUAAUACAAUUAAAUCUUUGCAUGUGUGUUUUCAAACUCUCAGAUGGGCAGGAUAUCAGUCUUGGACUGUCUAACCUGCCGGAGCAGCACUGAAUGAUCACCACACAUGAGCAUGUUCCUGCAACAUUCAGCAUCUGAUCUGCCAUCUGUGUGCUUCUGCUUUUGUGUCAAAUGUCAAACAGCUGGAGAGGAAACUACACCAGUGUACUGGGAUGUUUCACCAACACGUGCCAGACGCUGUUCCUUCAUGGUGACAUCACCAGAGACAGUCCCGCCCACCUCAGGACCUCUCCAUUGAUCAUGAUGAUUAUAAUAAUGACAGCGAGCGGAACUAAGACUGUAAAAAUCCAUGACCAGAAUGUUU